GGAGCGAACGCUGGCGGCAGGCCUAACACAUGCAAGUCGAGCGCCCCGCAAGGGGAGCGGCAGACGGGAGAGUAACACGUGGGAACGUACCCUUCAGUUCGGAACAACCCAGGGAAACUUGGGCUAAUACCGAAUACGUCCGUAAGGAGAAAGAUUUAUCGCUGAAGGAUCGGCCCGCGUCUGAUUAGCUUGUUGGUGAGGUAACGGCUCACCAAGGCGACGAUCAGUAGCUGGUCUGAGAGGAUGAUCAGCCUCACUGGGACUGAGACACGGCCCAGACUCCUACGGGAGGCAGCAGUGGGGAAUAUUGGACAAUGGGCGCAAGCCUGAUCCAGCCAUGCCGCGUGGGUGAUGAAGGCCCUAGGGUUGUAAAGCCCGUUUCGGCGGGGAAGAGUAAUGACGGUACCGCAGAAGAGCCCGGCUAACUUCGUGCCAGCAGCCGC
rnacentral:rRNA from 1 species